rnacentral:lncRNA from 1 species
GGAGAGCUUGUUGGGACAGCUGUGCACCUGGGCUAAUUUCCCCAGGGCACAAUCAAAGCUGUUUCAGACACAGGUUGGCUGUAUCUGAGGUUGAAAGGUUAAAAACAGCUUCUCAAACAUAGCCAAAAGCCAGGAGAGGGAGAGGAACAGGAGGAGCCAAUUGUGCCUUAACAAGACCCUGAGCAGCUUCACCUGAACCUGGGUGGAGCCGUUUCACCACCCUGCCUUGGUGGGGUCUCCAUGUAUAUAAACUCUGCCUAGGGAAGCCCCUGCUCUUUCCUGGGAGCAACGUGAUGGGUUCCUGUGCGUUGAGGUUUGAGCUCUGAACAAAGUUGGCCACCGUAAAUAUUUCCAGAGUUCAAAGUGAACACAAAGAAGCAACUUUCAAUGAAAUAUAUUUUUUUCAUGAAGCAAAUUACAUGAAUAACAGUCAUUUUCCCAGAAGAAGAAUUGACUGAGAGCCAUUAAAUGCAAAAACACCACCUAAAGCUCUAGGAGUUCCUUAGCUGCAGACUGAUGCAAGCUGAAUGAUUUUUCCUGGCAGCUCACCCAUCAUCUACCCAGAAAAACAUCUGCAACCUGCUGAGAGCCCAAGGCUGUAGGAUCUGCAACCCUUUUCACAGUGUGUGAUUGGUUGAGGGGCUGCCUGUGCAGCUCAGAGUUUCUCUGCCUUGUGAGCAGAGGUAAGUGUUCAAAAAACUUUCACUCCCUUUCUGCUUCUCAGCUGUAAAUUAAAGAAUUUGGAAUAGGUGGAGCUCCUGUCUUACCAAGUUUUUUCCUGGCUCAGCCACCUUCCUCCUCCUCUAAAUACAGCUGCUCUAAGUGCUGCUUCUAACAAAGUGGUCUUCAAUUAUGCAGCUUCUC